rfam:Oceanobacillus picturae, S1, WGS project CCAX01000000 data, contig: 000004
AUAAAAGAAUACGUUGUACCGUAGACAGUAGGGGCGGAUCCAUCCGCUUAAUAUCCUGCCGAGGUGUUUAUAAAACAGAUCGAUGAAUCCCUAUGAUUAUCGUAUGUUAUAGUAAGCUCCCGUGUCUGCGCGGGAGCUUCUUUUGUUUAUAA